rnacentral:rRNA from 2 species
AGACCCGAAACCCGGUGAUCUAGCCAUGGGCAGGUUGAAGGUUGGGUAACACUAACUGGAGGACCGAACCGACUAAUGUUGAAAAAUUAGCGGAUGACCUGUGGCUGGGGGUGAAAGGCCAAUCAAACCGGGAGAUAGCUGGUUCUCCCCGAAAGCUAUUUAGGUAGCGCCUCGUGAAUUCAUCUCCGGGGGUAGAGCACUGUUUCGGCUAGGGGGCCAUCCCGGCUUACCAACCCGAUGCAAACUGCGAAUACCGGAGAAUGUUAUCACGGGAGACACACGGCGGGUGCUAACGUCCGUCGUGAAGAGGGAAACAACCCAGACCGCCAGCUAAGGUCCCAAAGUCAUGGUUAAGUGGGAAACGAUGUGGGAAGGCCCAGACAGCCAGGAUGUUGGCUUAGAAGCAGCCAUCAUUUAAAGAAAGCGUAAUAGCUCACUGGUCGAGUCGGCCUGCGCGGAAGAUGUAACGGGGCUAAACCAUGCACCGAAGCUGCGGCAGCGAACGUAUCACCCAAGACAACUUUACGGAGUUGACGAUUGACGGAGCGAAGCGACGUCAAAGCGUUCAUUAAAGUCGAGUUGGCUUAGGGAUACGUUCGUUGG